CGCUCCCCCGACACCUGGGCUGGUCCUCCCGGAUCCACUCCUCUCCCACACUCCCUCACCUCCCCCCUCCCUCCCCCUGCCCACGCCCCACAUACCUGGGCUCCUGCCCCUUCCACCCCUCUCUGCUCCCUCCCUGCCCCCUUCCCUUCCUCCCCUCCCCUUUAUCUCACCUUCACCCCCUUUCCUCCUACACCCCUUCCGUGUCCCCACCCCCUGCCCUCAGUCCUCCUUCCUCCUCUUCCCCACAUCCCACCUCUCCUUUCCCCCUCCUUGUAGGCCCUCUUUCUCCUCAGCCCCCCUCCCCCCGCCUUUAGUCUCCUACCUCCCCUACAGCCUCCUGCCCCCGCCUCCUCACAGCCCCCUACUUACCCUACUGCCUCCCUCCUGGGGCCCUUUCCUCCCCAAGGGCCCCUCUGUUUUCUCCCAUUCCAGCCCCUGACCAGGCCCUGCUCCUCUGCUGGGGUCGGCCCCGCACAGUAAGCUGCCUGGGAGCCCUCAUUGCCUUCCUGGGCAACCCGGCCAAAGGCCCCCCGAGCAGCUGCAGCCCUGGAGGUCAGCCUCACCCUGGCAGACCGCAGGGGCCCCUCCUCACCGCCGACCUCUGCACCUUCACCCGUUUGCCUGGUGUCUGAGGAAGGGCCCGCAGGAAGAGCAUUCCUUUCCCAGGGUCUUCCUCAGGAGGGAUGAGAGGAAGCAAAAGCUUGGUCUGCAAACGGGCUGGUCCUCCCGACGGCCACAUCCGCAGGAAUGACCCUCAGAGGGGCUCCCCAACUGGCUGGGAGAUUCGUCCAGCUGGGCGCUCUGCUACACAGCCCCGUCAAGGGCAAACAGAUGACAAAACUGAGACACAAAAGAUGAAUCAGCUUGGCAGUGUUCACAGAGCCAGCGUGUGGAAAAGCCAGAAUCCAGACCCAGACCCGAACUGCAGCGUCCCGGCUCUUACCCCUAACCAGCCAGUGCCUCUCAGCUUAGUGCUCUUCCACCCGGCUUUUCUUUCUAAAAAUGACUCCACACCCACAGAAGGAGAGGGGGAUGAAGAAAUCUGCCAGGAGGGUGCCUCCCGCCAGUAUCUGAUGAAGGUAAGAGCUCUCCUUUGGAGUAAUAUGUUGUCUGUGCCAAGGAUGGAAUGAAAACAGAGUAUGAUGGCUCAUCUUGACUUUUUCCUUACUUACAAAUGGAGAGCCCCAAAGUCCAAAUCCUUGGACCAGCUAUCCCCCAACUUCCUCCUUAGGGGCAGAAGGUGAGAGCAAGCAAACAUUUGAGUUGAUUCAUGAAACUUUACUGGGCAAAGAAUAGAAAAUGUUGGUUUGGACCCUCCUUCACUAUCUGGGGCCCCUCCACAUGAGCUCCUUCACCGAUCCGUCUCCUUCAGCUGCUUCCCCACUGUGACUCUACCAGCCCCUCUCUAUCCCCCCUUCAAGCCUG
rnacentral:lncRNA from 1 species